rnacentral:rRNA from 1 species
AGAGUUUGAUCCUGGCUCAGGAUGAACGCUAGCGGCAGGCUUAAUACAUGCAAGUCGAACGGUAAGGCCCUGCUUGCAGGGUACACGAGUGGCGCACGGGUGAGUAACGCGUAUGCAACCUACCAUGAACUGGAGAAUAGCCCAGAGAAAUCUGGAUUAAUACUCCAUAUUAUCAUUUUUUCGCAUGAUUAAAUGAUUAAAGCUCCGGCGGUUUAUGAUGGGCAUGCGUGACAUUAGUUUGUUGGUGAGGUGACGGCUCACCAAGACUGCGAUGUCUAGGGGGUCUGAGAGGAUAAUCCCCCACACUGGUACUGAGACACGGACCAGACUCCUACGGGAGGCAGCAGUAGGGAAUAUUGGUCAAUGGACGGAAGUCUGAACCAGCCAUGCCGCGUGCAGGAAGACGGCCUUAUGGGUUGUAAACUGCUUUUAUACAGGAAGAAACUUACAUACGUGUAUGUAAUUGCCGGUACUGUACGAAUAAGGAUCGGCUAACUCCGUGCCAGCAGCCGCGGUAAUACGGAGGAUCCAAGCGUUAUCCGGAUUUAUUGGGUUUAAAGGGUGCGUAGGCGGAAUCGUAAGUCAGUGGUGAAAUCCUUCAGCUUAACUGGAGAACUGCCAUUGAAACUACAAUUCUUGAGUACAUUUGGAGUGGGCGGAAUGUGUCAUGUAGCGGUGAAAUGCAUAGAUAUGACACAGAACACCAAUCGCGAAGGCAGCUCACUAAACUGUAACUGACGCUGAGGCACGAAAGCGUGGGGAGCAAACAGGAUUAGAUACCCUGGUAGUCCACGCCGUAAACGAUGAUUACUCGAUGUUGGCCAACUGAGGUCAGUGUCCGAAUGAAAAUAUUAAGUAAUCCACCUGGGGAGUACGAUCGCAAGAUUGAAACUCAAAGGAAUUGACGGGGGCCCGCACAAGCGGAGGAGCAUGUGGUUUAAUUCGAUGAUACGCGAGGAACCUUACCUAGGCUUAAAUGUAUUAUGACAGUCCUCGAAAGAGGAUCUUCCUUCGGGACAUUUUACAAGGUGCUGCAUGGUUGUCGUCAGCUCGUGCCGUGAGGUGUCGGGUUAAGUCCCUUAACGAGCGCAACCCCUAUCCUUAGUUGCCAGCGGAUAAUGCCGGGGACUCUGAGGAAACUGCCUACGCAAGUAGUGAGGAAGGUGGGGAUGACGUCAAAUCAGCACGGCCCUUACGUCUAGGGCUACACACGUGCUACAAUGGCCAGUACAAAGGGUAGCUACCUGGUGACAGGAUGCAAAUCUCUAAAUCUGGUCUCAGUUCGGAUCGAAGUCUGCAACUCGACUUCGUGAAGUUGGAUUCGCUAGUAAUCGUGUAUCAGCAAUGACACGGUGAAUACGUUCCCGGGCCUUGUACACACCGCCCGUCAAGCCAUGGAAGUUGGGGGUACCUGAAGUCGAUAACCGCAAGGAGUCGCCUAGGGUAAAACCGAUAACUAGGGCUAAGUCGUAACAAGGUA